AUGAAUGAAAGACACAAGAGAAUUAUCAUUUAUCCUAGAAGGAGACAUAGAAGAUGAAGCCGUUGGGACAGGAGAGGAAGACCUGGAGAUUGGAGAAUGCGCAAUAGGCUUUGAGAGGGGAGGUAAAAUAGGUGAAACUGAAGCAACAGGCUGUAACAGAGACUCGGACAUUUUUUCUUGAGUGUCAAAAUCAGUAUUAACAGAAAUAAACUCUCUCUGAGUGUCAGAACCACCAUCUAUAGUAGUAGAACUACCAACAUCCAUAACAAUAGGACCUUCUCCAGUAAAGAACUCUCCCUCUCAACCAGUACUAUAGGUGACGGGAGA
rnacentral:lncRNA from 1 species